UACGAACCGUGCGAACGUUAUUCGGAAUCAUUGGGCUUAAAGCGCGUGUAGGCGGAUUCGUGCGUCUGUCGCUGAAAUCCCCCGGCUCAACCGGGGAACGGGCGCGGAUACGACGAGUCUGGAGGGGCAUAGGGGGACCUGGAACUUCCGGUGGAGCGGUGAAAUGCGUUGAGAUCGGAAGGAACGCCCGUGGCGAAAGCGAGGUCCUGGAUGGCUACUGACGCUGAGACGCGAAAGCCAGGGGAGCGAACGGG
rnacentral:rRNA from 1 species